rnacentral:rRNA from 1 species
GAUGAACGCUGGCGGCGUGCUUAACACAUGCAAGUCGAGGGGCAGCAUGAGGCGGAGAUUCGUCAAAGUCUUGAUGGCGACCGGCGCAAGGGUGCGUAACGCGUGAGCAACUUGCCCGUUUCUGGGGAAUAACCGGUGGAAACGCCGACUAAUACCCCAUAGUAUGUCCGAGAGGCAUCUUUUGGACAUUAAAGAACUUCGGAAACGGAUAGGCUCGCGUGACAUUAGCUAGAUGGCGGGGUAACGGCCCACCAUGGCGACGAUGUCUAGGGGUUCUGAGAGGAAGGUCCCCCACACUGGAACUGAGACACGGUCCAG